CCUCGAGACCGCCUGACAGAAAAGGAAAGAAUCUGUAAAAAAAAAAAAAAACGAAGAGGUGUCGUCAUCCUGCUGCUGCUGCAGCACCAGAACUGCCCCCCCCUUUCAUUAUAUCUGUUUUAACUGUAAAACUGUUCUGUAGGAAUUUACACUUUUUAAUUCCCACCAUAAAACGAUUUUUAUUUAGAUUGGCUUUUAAUACUCAGCGCUGUGAUACUUUCCAUUUGUUGUACCUCUGUAUUGUUUGUUUUAUUCUAUUUUAUGUAAUUCCUUAAUGUUAUAAGGAAUAAUAAUAAUAAUAAUAAUGAUACUAAUAAUAAUGAUAAUCUAAUAAUUCCAGAUGUCAAGGCAUGUGUGGUAUGACAGGAGGUGAGGGCUAGUUUACGGAAAACAUCUUCACAUUUCCUUUGUGUCAAAGCUUCCAUAAUGUAAAUAACUGUUGUUUUGAAUGCUUGUUCUUGAUGGUGAACACAAAUAUUACGGGAGACCAACUUUUGUGGAAUAGCAUCAUUUUUAGAAAUGCAGAGGAUUUAUUGUCUAGAGUGUAAAUUAACGAUUUGAAGAAAGGAAAGUCCCCUGGUCCCAAUCCCAUGAUCUCUCCUUGAUCUGAACUCAGAGAGGAAAGUUAAAUCUCGGGUACACAUAAAUCGAAGAUGGUUUUGGAGGACAUAUAAAGACUAUAAGAAAAAAACUACACUUAGUAAUAGCCAAACUUGAGCAGUAGAUGGCGCAGAUGACCCAUUUUCCUUGAAGUGGUGUCUCAAAAUGUUUUGAAAAACCAUCUUCAAGCUAAAUCCUGUAUCCACUCUCCUAGAUAGUCCUCUGAUGUGUGUUCACUGAGAUGCUGUCAGAUUUUCUAAUGUUAUUCUCUGUCUUUUUGGUAUCUUUCAGUGAGUUAGCAACCAUUUGGUGAUGUGCACAGCAGUUGUAACUUCUUAAAGCAGCAAGUGUAAUACAUGGAAAAGCAAAGGACAGAUCAGGAGUUUCUUCAGAUAUUUAGGUAUGCCUGUAACUGGGGACGUGCGGCUGUACGGAGCUCUAGCUCCUCUCUCUGAUGUGGGCUGCUGAGUAAUGGGUGUACAUCCUUCAGUGCUCCUCUCCUGCAGCACAUCUGACUGGAUUAAAUAUGUGCAGAGGAUUUAUUGGCUGAAAAACCACAAGAGCCCUACAAACACUUCGGUCCCAGACCACUUGUAGUGGAGCCCAGGCAAGCGCAGGAUUCAUCUGCAACCCCUCUGAUCCCCCUUGACUCUGUUUCUACUCUCCCUUUCAUACUAUGGAUUGUUGUAUGUUUUCCUCCACGACCUUUUCUUUAUAUUUUUUAUUUACCCUGCCAUUAUCUCAAAAUUGGAUUUAUUUUGUGAUUGUUAACCAAAAACACAGAGGUGAAAUCAGGUUCUUGGUUGUUUCCAGACUUCGUUCGGUGGUGAGGGGCUUUUUCCACUUACAGCCUCACUUGAAUUAGUUGGGCAACAUUAAUAAUUCAUGACCCACAUGUGUAACAGACAGAUAACAAGCAUCUCCACGUAACAACUAUCAUUAUCAUUAUUCCAGCCACAGAAUUUUAUUCACCAUCAUGCAUUUUGGGAUUAAUGUGAUUGAGGUUUGAUUUUGGAGUGUGGUUCAAGGGUAGAUUUAUUUAUCGUGCAGUGUGGGAUAAUCUGUGAUGAUUGGUAUUUCCAGUCCAGUCGCAUUUGAAAACCAAAUGCAUUGUUUUCUCAAAAGAACCAGGGUCAUUGAUUCUCUCUAAUGGUUUGAGUCCCUCACAAAAUGUCUCUGUCCUACUGUCCAAUUAAAAUUCUUUCUCUAUCUUUAAUAUAAAACAAUAUAAAAAAUGUAAAA